GUUUUUUAGGAAAUUGAUCUCCACUACAGCAAAACCACCCCAGGAAGAGCUCCUCAUUGGUGAAGAUGAAUGAGCAGUGCCUCCCAAACUGUAAUGUGCAUAUGAAUCACCCGGGGAUCCUGUUACAAUGCAGUCUGCUGCAGUAGGUCUGAGGUCUGGCCAGACAUUCCACAUUUCUAACAAGCUCCCACGUGGUGCUGAUGCCGCAGGUCAGAGGACUUCACUGUGAGUAGCAAGGCAGCGCUGGACUAACUUGGUUGAACUCAUGAGUGAUUAUAACAAGGAACAACAGGUGAGCAAGACUCUCAACAGCAGCAGUGGCCACCCUGCAGCCCUUGUGCACAGCCCACGGCCCCUGAAGAAAAAGCGUUUUCUCUUUGGAUAAAAAUAGGCCACCAAACCCAAAACCACAACUGAUGAAAGAGUUAUAGUAUCAGUAAUUUUACAAAUCAAAUGGAGCUGAUGGAGUUAUCAUUUUAGAAUUGGUAUUUCCUGCUGUUUAACAAAUACUUUUUUCUCAGUUGCAUGGCAGUGGUCUAAAGUAAGAAGGAAAAUGGACUUGAGAUUAAAAACAAAAACUUACCCAAAAGGUGAUAAAGAAAUCCUGCAAUAGAAUGCAUUGAUUUCAGUGACCCAGCACCCUUUUAAGUUUGCCUGAAGAAAAUACUACUUUAAAAGUUGGUAACAGAGACCUUUAACGGUGGGUGAGGAGUCACAUACAAAGUGUCACGGCCAGAUAAAAUCACCGGAUGCAGAGGAAUUGCCAUCGACAUCUCCUGCCACUGAGUCCAGCUCUACCGUGGGGACAAGAAAUACCUCCCUAACUCUGAGACAACCGCGGCCCACACCCACACCAUGUCUCAACAACAGACUUAGGAACUUGUAGAUCUUUGGACAACUGCAGGUCAGUCCCAAGACAGAGAAAAACACCAAACAGGCUAGUUUGGCUAGCAAGAUUCAAACCUGUAGCAAUUUCCUCUCUAUUAAAAGCAAUUCAUUAAACUACUAGCAGGAGAAAAAAGUAAAACAAUAGAUUUACUAGGAGUGAAAGAGAAUAAAAAGAAAUUUAUAUAUUUAACUACAGCUUUAUUUCUUUGGAAGUGCUCCAAUUUGCAAAAAAAAAAAAAAAAAAUCAGGGUUUCUGACAAGUAAUCUACGGGUAUCUAAAACGUGCAUGGUUUUACUUUUGUGAAGCAGGGAACAUUUUUAAAAACAUAGUCUUGCUUUCAGACUAUUCUGACGAGGUUAGGAAGUAUUUUUGAAAAUUGUUAAACAAUUAAAUGGGAAUAUAGAAAGACGUGAAAAGAGAAAGAGAAAACUCACUUGUAUCCUGAAUCUCCCUACCGACUUACUCUUUAAUUCCACAGAAAUUUUUUUAAAGCAGGAAAAGGAAAAUGGACUGAAAAGUUUUAGGCAGAAACUGACACACACCUCACUUACUACUUUGCCGGAGAGCAGAUCCUGAGUGAGCUUCCCUCAAAGUCUGUGGUCUCUUUCCAACUACCUGCGGGAAUCCUCUGCUCCGUAGCUUAAGAGGAUGCAAAGACCAUAAUGUUUCUAAUAGAGCUGCCUCCUUAAAUUGGGGGGUGUGGUCAAGCCAGGGAAAGCUGGAAAAAAGGCAGUCUUCCUCUUGCCCCUGGCACCAGGACAGCAGCCACUGGCACAGGCACA
rnacentral:lncRNA from 1 species